UACGAAGGGGGCGAGCGUUGUUCGGAUUUACUGGGCGUAAAGGGCGCGUAGGCGGCGCGACAAGUCAGGCGUGAAAGCCCCGGGCUCAACCUGGGAAUGGCGCUUGGGACUGUUGUGCUUGAGUUCGGGAGAGGAGCGUGGAAUUCCUAGUGUAGAGGUGAAAUUCGUAGAUAUUGGGAAGAACACCGGUGGCGAAGGCGGCGCUCUGGACCGAGACUGACGCUGAGGCGCGAAAGCGUGGGUAGCAAACAGG
rnacentral:rRNA from 1 species